GGGUGUUUGGCCGAGUGGUUUAAGGCGCUACGUUCAGGCGGUCUGUUCUGGCCAAGAGUUUCGUAGUAUCGCAAGAUGCGUGAGUUCGAAUCUCACAGCACCCA